CACGGUGCACAUUACCAUACACACCUAGAGCAGUUCGACAAAUAGAGACAUUUACAUUAAUUUUCUUUGCUGCCCAGAAACUUUUUAAUGCUAAACAAUGAACUAAGAUGGGAAAAAUAUGCUCUGUUUUUUGACAGUGUUGACCUAUGAGACAUGUAAUAGAAAGACAUUUGUAUGCAAAUUUAGCAUUUAUUGCAAACAUAAAACACAUUUAAACACUUUAAAUUUAAAAGCCAGAAAAGUUGAAUGCAUGCACUACACUACGAUGGAUUUAAAUUGUGCAGUUUAUAAGUUGCAGAUUGUAUUGCUUGUCUCAUGUAAGAAAAAAAACAACUUACCUCCUGACAUGAGUUCAAAAAAGUAAUAUUUACUAAUAGCAAGAAUAUUUAUCAACAAUGUAACCUGUAUAUGAUCAUUAUCUUUAUAAACAAUUUCUUUUUUUAAAUAGGUAUUUCAUAUAUAUAAUACAAAAUUCACAAGAAUACCAAAAGAACAACCAGGUGGUUUUCAAACACAUUAUUUAUAAAUAGAAUCAUUGAAAUCUAUGACAAUGGAUUCUUAUUUGAAAAAAAACAACAGUUUUUUUGAGGUUUCUUUGCUUAUCAAGUAUUUAAUUGAGACCAAUAGCACAUAUAUACAGAAGAGCCAGACCCAAUUGAAAGUUGAAUCUACUUCAUUAAGCAUAUAGUGCACAACUACUUCCAGAACUAGUCAAAUGGACACACACACACAAAAAAGUAUAAAAUAUUUUGAAAUACAUAUACAAAAACAAAAUAUAUUAAAAAUUGACAUUUGUUCAACUUACUUUAAUAAUAAAAAAAAAAUUACUCUGAAUAAGUCUUAUCACAAACGAGGUUCAAGAUACUAAAAGACUCAAUACAAAUUUACACAUUCACUUGAGUUCAGUAAGAAAUGAAUGAUAAAUAUAAGAAUGAGGUUGACAAAUAUUGAAUGCUUAACAGUCAUUAUUGCAAUCUCUACAAGAAAAUUUAUCUUUAAGAGAGAUGAUGAUUCCAUUGUUGACUGUAAGACUCAGCAUAAAAGAUAGAAUCAUUGUGUGAAUUCAAUAGAAAGUUGUAAAAUAUAAGCAAAUUAAUAUUAGAUUUUAGUCUGUUGGUUUGUGUGUACUGUAGACACAGAUUAAUUUGUUUUAAAAUGAUACUAAAAGAAGAAUUGGAAAAGACAUGACAUACCAAACAGUAUAAAGAGUGCAUC